AGACGCAAAGGUGAUCUGGGUGCAACAUCUGUCACCUCAUCGAUCACCAGGAUUCACUCAGCUGAUCUGGUUGGGUAGGCAGGUGUCUGCUUUCUUCUUCAUAUCUGCAUGUGCAUUAAAUAGGAUGAACUUCCCUGAUAGAGGAGGACUGUGCUUGGUUCAAGGAUAAAUGAAUAUCUGUGCUGCUCCAGUAGAAUCUCCAAAGCUCUCAAGAGGACUUCAUACCCAGGUAAGUCUCUCUCAGUUAUAUGAAUCGUCACACUUACAAACUGGGGUUACUAU
rnacentral:snRNA from 1 species